CACACCACAAGGAACCAGAAGAUGAUCUUUAUGUCGUUGGAAAGAUCUCGCUUUCAAGUUUCCAGAACACCUUUAGAAGCAAAUUCCGAGGUCGCUAGCCAAACAAAACGAAGAAGGAACAAUCAACCCUGACUCAUAAAACUGAUUAGAAACCUGAAACUUUCUUCCCCUGAGCUACUUCAUCAUUCUUUGAUUCUUCAUAAUACUGGCGAAUCAUUAAGAACCGUACUCAAUAGGCUCAUGUUUGAUUCAUCUCUCUUUCUCAUGAUAAGAAUCCUUGUUGGCCGCACUAAGAACAAAAACCUCUUCUUUCAUUUUGAACAAGAACAUGACCAUGAACAAGCUCUUCUUCUCUUCUUACAAAGCUCUUUAUAGAAUUCAUAUCAGUGGUGAAUCAAACAAUGUGGGCAGUCUUUUUCAAUCAUCAUUGGCUCUUUAUCUAAACCAAGUUCACAAAAUUUAAUAAGAACACAU